rnacentral:rRNA from 1 species
UUAGAGUUUGAUCCUGGCUCAGGACGAACACUGGCGGCGUGCCUAAUACAUGCAAGUCGAACGAAGCUUUCUUUCACCGAAUGCUUGCAUUCACCGAAAGAAGCUUACUGGCGAACGGGUGAGUAACACGUAGGCAACCUGCCCAAAAGAGGGGGAUAACACUUGGAAACAGGUGCUAAUACCGCAUAACCAUGAACACCGCAUGAUGUUCAUGUAAAAGACGGCUUUUGCUGUCACUUUUGGAUGGGCCUGCGGCGUAUUAACUUGUUGGUGGGGUAACGGCCUACCAAGGUGAUGAUACGUAGCCGAACUGAGAGGUUGAUCGGCCACAUUGGGACUGAGACACGGCCCAAACUCCUACGGGAGGCAGCAGUAGGGAAUCUUCCACAAUGGACGAAAGUCUGAUGGAGCAACGCCGCGUGAAUGAAGAAGGCCUUCGGGUCGUAAAAUUCUGUUGUCAGAGAAGAACGUGCGUGAGAGUAACUGUUCACGUAUUGACGGUAUCUGACCAGAAAGCCACGGCUAAUUACGUGCCAGCAGCCGCGGUAAUACGUAGGUGGCAAGCGUUGUCCGGAUUUAUUGGGCGUAAAGGGAACGCAGGCGGUCUUUUAAGUUUGAUGUGAAAGCCUUCGGCUUAACCGAAGUAGUGCAUUGGAAACUGGAAGACUUGAGUGCAGAAGAGGAGAGUGGAACUCCAUGUGUAGCGGUGAAAUGCGUAGAUAUAUGGAAGAACACCAGUGGCGAAAGCGGCUCUCUGGUCUGUAACUGACGCUGAGGUUCGAAAGCGUGGGUAGCAAACAGGAUUAGAUACCCUGGUAGUCCACGCCGUAAACGAUGAGUGCUAAGUGUUGGAGGGUUUCCGCCCUUCAGUGCUGCAGCUAACGCAUUAAGCACUCCGCCUGGGGAGUACGGUCGCAAGACU